CAUAAACAAAUGCAGCUUAAAGAUUUUAUAGACAGUGUUCGACUAUUCUUAGUAAGAUGUCAUUUGUGAAGGCAUUCUGAUUUUUUCGAAACGAAUAAGUAAACGAAGGGAUUUUUUUAUAAUUCAAAGAUGAUUUUGAAGGAGUCAAACCGACUUCCUUGACACAAAAUUAAGAGUCCGAGUUUCAUUUUAAGGAGUGUAGGACUACCGGACUCCCGUUAGUGUCAAACACUGUCGGAUAGUCACAACGCGAUUGGACAAAAGAUGUCUGCUCUCCGCGAACAAAGGUCGGACACAACAUUAACGAGACAAGAAAUAUGUAACGUUGACAACGAUAUGAAUAAGCAAUCCAGCGGCGUUAAGUUGUUUGAAAAGGUAUUCUCAGAUUUAAGAUCUGCAGCGAAGGAAAUGAUUCUCCGGAUGCAGGUAACU